CAGUGGGUCUAUAGUCACAUGGUAACACAAACACUGGGUCUACAGUCACACAGUUACACAAACACUGGGUCUAUAGUCACAUUGUAACAUGUAAACAUGUACUGUCUGUUUUCAUGAUGAAAGGGUUUUGAUUGUUCAAAGUACCUUCAGUGUAAUUAUAUGGUAUUAUUUUACAAGGUGUACUUUUUUGAUCAUGGGAAUUCCUUGAGUUUAAACUCAAAUGUUGGGGACUUUUGAUUUUAUUGACAUAAAUAUUUAAUGAAUCUCAGGUGUGUUGGUGUUGUGUAGCUAUUUAAAUUGUAUUGGUAUUGUGUAAAAACAAAUUGGGAACUUAUAACUGUGUGUAUAUGUUAAGUGUAGGGAAAGUAUCUAAUCAUAGAAUGGUCUUUUAGAAUAUUGCAACAAGGUCAAGUCUACUAGAAAUUGCAAAUUUAUUAACACUGAACACAUAUUUACUAAAACACAUCAUUGUUACUGUAUAUAACAGAGCAAGGUGCAUCCAGGUUCAUGUUUUAUUGUAGCUUUGUGAUGAAGGACUUGGAAGGUAUUCAUCCUGAUUUACUGCAGUUUGUUCAGGGAAGAUAUCAAAGGGCAUAUCAUUGAAUCAACUCAGACUGCCAAUUUAGUUAAAGAAGCAUUGUCUAAGGCCGAGGCAUUAUCUAAAGAGAAAGUCAUCUAAGGCCGAGGCAUUAUCUAAAGAGAAAGUCAACUAAGGCCAAGGCAUUAGUUAAUGAGAAAGUGCUCUAAGUCCAAGGCAUUAGUUAAAGAGAAAGUGCUCUAAGGCCAAGGCAUUAGUUAAAGAGAAAGUCAACUAAGGCCAAGGCAUUAGUUAAAGAGAAAGUGCUCUAAGGCCAAGGCAUAAGUUUAAGAGAAAGUUCUCUAAGGCCGAGGCAUUAAAUUAGUUAAAGAGAAAGUCAUCUAAGGCCACGGCAUUAAUUAAAGAAAAAAAGUGCUCUGAGGCUGAUGCAUCCGUUAAUGAAAAAACUGCUGAAGACUGUUGGAUAAAGAUGAAGUCAUAUACCGGUAUUAAUAUUUCUUUUUGUAAGAUAAUUCUAGAUUGUUAUGUUUACACUGGUCUAACAUAAGUGUAUGCUGCUAUGCUGAUGUAUAAGUAUGGCUGUUUAUGAUAUAUUUUUAAUACGUUUAUAGAUCCAUAUAUGAUACAGAAUUUUGUUGCUUGUUUGCUGUAUUAUGUGUAUAACUCAGAAAGGAAUAGGGUACUUUUGUCCAUUGUUUCACUCUGAAAAACGCAGUAGACAGGAAAAUAUUUGUAUUUUUGUGAAUGUUGUCUAGACUUGGUUUUUAAAAAAAACUACACAACUGUGAAAUAGGGAAUGUAGAGAAAUGAGUGACAUAAUUUGUAUUUUUGGAUUAUGUGAAUAUUGAUUGUGAUUAUAUCAUGAGAUAUUUAUCAAUAACUUUUGAGAAUUGCUUACUAAUACUAUAUACAUAUAAAAUAUUAAUAUUCUGAAAAAUUCUAGUUGCACAUAAAAAAAAAAAGUUGAUUUGUGUUUAUUUUGCUAGAGAUGUAUAUAUUUUUAUAAGUAUUUUACAUCUAUAUAACUGAUGCUUUGGCUAUCUCCCUGUGAAGCUACACAUUUAUUAUCAUGUGAUAUUUGCCUUUGAAUGAUCAUAACUUCAAGUCAUUCAAAAGCAACAUCUUUACAUUCUAAUUAGGGUCCCACGUGAAAGUGUUGAUGCUCUAUAAUAAUCACUGUGUCCGUCCGUCCGUCCGUCUGUCUGUCUCUCGGUCUUUCUGUCAGUCUGUCUGUCAGCAUUUUUAUUUCGGUGCAAUAACUUGACUUUCCAUGGGCCGAUAAAACCAAAAUUCAUACAGUGCUUCCUUAUUGAAAGAGCUUGCUUAGAAUUGCUUUUCAGCAUCAAAAUUCAAAGGUCAAAUUACUGUUACUAGCUUCAAAUAAACAAAUCACCUUCCAUGCAAUACUUAGUGUUUGCUUAGAAUGGUCUAAAGUUUGAAAGGUCUAAAGUCAAGAUCACUGAGUUUUCUUCAGCCUGAUCAAACUCAAACUUCAUACAGUGCUUCCUUAUCAAAAGUGCUUGCUUGGGAUUGAUUUUCUGUGUCAAAGGUCAAAUUCACUGUUGCAAAAUAUAGAAAAUCAGUGUUCAUGCCAUAAUCUGAGAUUGCUUUUGCAAAUCAAACUGAUACUUCAUACAAUGCUUCUUUCUCAAAGAGCUUGCUUCCAAUUGCUUUUCAGUUUUGAAGGUUAAAAGUCAAGGUCAUGCUUAAUUUAGAUAGAAAUCAAGUGUUCACGGGUAUUAGCUCCAUAUUGUCACAAAUGUAUCAGUUAUGUGUUGUGUUGGCUUUUAUGGCAGAGUGUUCUUAAGGUUUACCAGUAAUCUGUGAGUCUGACUGGCCAUCCAGACUUUCAACUUAAUUGUUUUUCAUGCUUUUUUUCAAUGAAACUUAACAUGGUGUUACACUGUGAUGUGCAGAUGUGCAAAAGGUCAAGGUUGCUAAAAAUACAGCCCAAAAUGAACUGUGAAAAAGUAUCAUUUAAGGCCCUGUACAGAGGUUUAAACAAUGUGAAAUGUUGAAGCACAUUAUGGAUUUUAAAAUAUCCGCAAGGUCAAGAUCAAGGUGGCUGUUACUAAAAAUGUAACUAGGAAUAUACUUUAAAGUACAUCAUAUAAGGCCCUUACAGAGGGCAAAAUGAUCAAAAAUAUCAUAUGCAUGAUGAUACUCUGUGAUAUACAGAUGUGCAAUAGAAAUUUAAAAAGUUACUAUUGUUAAGGUCAUAGUGUAAUUUGUAUAUUUGCAGCAUAUUAGAAGUAAUUCUAUGUCAGUGUAUGACUUUGGUUAGUUCAGUUCAGGUAUAUACACAGACACAUUCCCCGGCUCUCAUAAAUGUGUCAUUAAUCUAGUUUGACUGGUAAAGCUCCUUUUAAAUUUGGUGUUCUUAAUGUUUUAAAACAUAGACAUUUUUUGUUUUUCAGAAUAAUUUGUGUCCCAGUAUGAAGUAAGCAUUGUCUUCCUAUGGUAUUUAUAGAUGUUAUAAAUGACAGAACUUUGCAGGCAAACAUCAUAUUCAGUAGAGGUAUGACAUUUGCCUUUGUAUGCCUAUAAUUUCAAGUCAGUUCAAUACUUAUCUUAAUAUUCUGAUCUAAUUUUCAACUAAAAUAUGUUAUUCAAUAUCCUAGGUCAUGUGAUUGUUAAGUUUUAUUCAGUUUUCAAAAUUCACUUAUUACAAUGUAUGUUAUUUUUGGCCAUAUUCUGAGAAUAUGUAAGCUGGAAUGUCUAUUAUUUAUGUAUUUGUUGCUUGAAUUAAGAAUGAUGUUUAAAUCAUUUGUCUGAUCAUUGAUAUUAUUCCAAGUACAGUGUACUAGGUGAUAGUUCUGCAAGCUGCCCAAAGGAGUGCAUAAAUUAAAAUACUGUGAAAAGUGACUUUACCAAGACACUGUAGGACUGAAUCAUUGUGUCGGAUAUGAGAGUGCAUCAGAAAAGUCCGUGUUAACAAUGACAGUGGAGAUGAUUCAUGUUGCUGUUCUGUUGGAUAUGGUCGGAUGAUACAGAACGUCUUUAAAGUCAGUGGUCGGUAAAGUCAGGUUUAUGAUGUUGAGUCAAGUACCUAGGAGAUAAUAAUAAUAAGUUGAGGAUUUGUAAAUUUCCAUUCCCAACAGGGGAGCCAAUUGUCUGCAGGACAGGGGCUGUAAGAGCGAGGGGCGUCCCUUGGGGUGAUUCUUGGGAGUUAGUUUGGUGCACAUUGGAGGAAUUAAUCACAGAAUUAAAUGUGUAUCCUAUUCCACUGUAUAUGAAAUCCUUUUUUCAUGUGUCUGUGUCAUUUGUCAAAUGGUCUGGGUUUGUCCAGUGGUUAAUUCUUUUUUUGAGUUUUGUUUUUAUAUGCAAUCAAAGGGAUAGCAGUGUUCAUAUCGUUAAGUUGCCAUACUACUAAUAUUCCAUUGUACCGGCUAGUAGUAGUUCAUCUGUCUCUGAGUGUCUGUUAUUUCUUUAUGAUAAUGAUCUGUGAUCUUACAACUUGUUUUGUAAUCAAUUUUAUGUUGCAAAUAAAAAUAUUUACAUUUCCA